GUGGCCGAACCCAAACGGUGAGGGACCAGGUUGUGACCCUGGCUGCUAGUGGAUUCGACUUCCACCGGUCACCCCA
rnacentral:tRNA from 1 species